rnacentral:lncRNA from 1 species
AUGGUGUCACACAGCUGCGGGCUCACGGCACAACGGGUCCCCACGAGGCGUCCCCACACGUGGGAGCAUCUCUGCUCCCCACGCAGAGCGCAAGCACUCGGGAGGUGCAAAGCGUGCCGUGCCACGGGGCUGCCGUGCCCGCAGUGCCAUCCCAAAGGUGGUGAGUGGGCACACGGUGCUGCUUUGGGGUCAGCUCUGCCCCACUCCUGGCACGUCGCUGCUGCUCCCUCAGUUCAGUGUGCACCCAGGGGAUGCGGCCCCUUUGUGGGGUCCCACGGGAGCCCGUUGCCCCACAGCGUUGCCUGGUACUGGGUGAGUAUGCGGGAUGCAGCCAGAGCCCAUCAGCACGGCCUCAGCACCCAAAGGUUUGGUUCUGUGGCAUCUGGAGGCGUCGGAGCUGCACGGGGAUGGAGCAGAGGCCGUGGUGGCAGAGCAGCCCUGUGCCAUCAUCCCCAUGCCACCAUCAUCUCUGUGCCACCACCAUCCCCGUGCCACCACCAUCUCCGUGCCACCUGCCUGCAGUGGUGCCAAGGACCGCAUCCCCGCUGCCAUGGGGUGCCAAGGGGUGGGAAGGGGCCUCCACGGCACCCACGGGUGCUGCAGAGCUCCGUGCAGCCCCGACCUGCGCUCCUCCCCGGUGCUGAGGACGGCGUCCGAGCCCUCCCGGAGCUCCGCACCAUCAGCGCGGGGGAGGGACGGAGGGGGGACACAUACAAACAUGCGGGGCUGGGGUCGGGAUGGGGGGCGGAGAGAGACGGGAUGGGGCAGAAUGGAGGGGCGGGAUGGGGGCAGGAUGGGGGCAGGGCAGGAGGUCCCGGUGCCCGCCCGCUCCCCGCCGUCCCUGCCUUUGCCCGGGGCACCCCCCCCCCCCCCCCCCCGCCGCCCCCGGCCCCGCUCCCCCCCGCGCGGUCGCAUUGCGGUGCCGCCGCCUCACCGUGCGCUGCCCGGGAUCCGCCCUUGGCUGCGGGCUGCACCGCGGCGUCAGCGCAUGGCCCGGCCCGGCGCUGUGCGGUUCCGAUGCGGCGGCCGCUGUCCGUCCGCUUCGAUUCGGCUUUCGGUUCGGCGCGACGGGGCCGGCGCGGUUUUACCCGGUGGCGGUGCGGUGAUGCGGGGCCGGCGCGGCUCUGCGGGGCUCAGCUCGGCACGGCACGGCGCGGUGCGGUGCGGCCGCCGCAGAGCCGAUCCCGCCCCGCCGCCGGCCCCGCCCGCCGCGCCCGCCCCACCCGGGGCUGCCGGACCCCCCGGUACAGCCCUGAACGGCGGCGGAACGGGAGGAGACGGACGGACGGACAGGGGUGGGACAAACGGACGGGGAUGGGACACGCGUGA